rnacentral:piRNA from 1 species
UCCACAGCACAGUUCUGAGAGGAUAGGAAUGC